UAAAUAUAUUAAGAUCUUUCCUUUUUUGGGCUCACUUGGGGGGUAUUUGUUUCUUCGAACGAGCAAGAUCAGGACUGGCAAUAGUCCCGAUCUAGUGUUUGGAAGCCGAAAUCAUGAACGGGACAACUUAUCCCGGAUACUCACCUUAUCCCACUCGAAAGGGACUCAAUUGACCCAUCUCAACCCUUGGGCCACACCUGUCCCAACACUUUCUCUUUCUCUUAAAGGCAACUCUCUUCCUCUCACUGGAACGUGGUCUCUCACCGGACCGUCAUCCUCCGCAGCUUUCCGAUUUGAAAACCUCGGAUUUUCAUUUGCAAAUUAGGGCUUUGAUUUGAGGAUGAAGAAGGCUUACUGCGAGUUUGGAAAAUUAGGAGAAAAGAGUGGAAGAAUUUUUCGACUCCAUUAGAGAGACUAAGAGAGAGAGAGAGAGAAAGAGAAAAGUGAAAAUGUACAUAGUAGGGUAUAGAGUCCAUAGAGUGCUGACAUUGGGCGUGACCUUAUUGGCCCUAGUAUGUGCCAUGGUUUCUCUUCCUGACAAUCUCAACCUCCCAUCAAUGUCCAGGUCUCUCUUUAUCCUUCUCUGUAAAUUUCUCUGUUUUAUUUUUUUUUUUCACUUGUACGUGGAGGGUGUAAAUGGGUUUGCAAUCUCUUAUUUGUUUCUUUUAACUGGCUUUAGAAUUUAAAGCGUUGGUCAUGAAAAAUGUUAAGAGUUUUCUAGUUCUGUAGGUUUUAAAUGUCAAUUGGUUUCAGAAGUAGCCUACUGGAAAUGACGAGGUAUUCUUUUUUCCUAAUUUUGUGUAUGUGUGUGUAUUUAUGUGUUUGUCUUGGAAGAAAAAGUUUGUUGAAUUGUGUAAACAAAAUGAUGGUUCUCUGGGAAAGAUGUAAAAGUCUGUAUGCAUUUUUUGAUAUACUUGAGAAUUUAGAGCGUGGAAUUACCAGAUGAUAAUGGGUUUUAUUUUGAGAUUUUUGGUGUGGUUGUUCUUCAUUGUGCUUGACCAUGUAACCUCUCUUUUUUUUUAUUCCUUUGGGUGGGCUAUAGAGUGUGGCUCAAAUCCAGACAUUGCUUAUUGUUGACAAACUUGUUUCACCUAUCCGUGAAUCCAUGUCCUUAAGGAUAGAAAUACUCCAAUCUGAUAUGGCUAGAUUUCUUUAUAUAGCGAAGUGGGUCUCGUGGAAUUGCUCUUGUUAUUUGCUACCAAAUUUAAAUAUAGUAGUGGCUAAACUUGCAAAUGUAUUGCUAGUGAUUAUAGUUUUUUUUUUUUUUUUUUUUUUUUUUAUUUUUUUUUUAUUUUUAAUUGAUUUCUGUGUUAAUAAUGUCUUCCACCUGUUUGUCUAUAUGUCCAUGAAGGGUUAUGAUCUAUUUUCUUAAGGACUUUCUGGAUUACCUUUUAGCUUCUUCUUCAUACAGAUCAGCUUGCUAUUGAAUAUUUCAGCUGACUUCCAGUCAAUGUUAACAUAAAAUAUAAAGGAGGUUUGUCAGUUAACUAUCUAUAUGCUUCAUUUCCAUGGUCAUGUUUGUCCUCGGGUAUUCAUGUGUCAGUGUAUUGUGUCCUCAUGUUGUAGGGCUAAUUAACUAACUAGUUAAUAGUGUUUGCUAUCAAAUCAUCAUAAAAAUACUUGGUUUCAAUCAACAGAUAAAUUUGAGUUUUACUUGCUCUACGAUACAAAAUGAGCUUGGAUUGUCAUAUAAUAUGGUCUGAGGAGUUAAAAAAGUAGCAGUUUCUCACGUUAGGGUUUUGCAUGUGAUUGUCAAUUAUUUCCACCCUUAUAAUCUCCAGAUUUACUGCUAUUAUAUAUUUCCUCACAUGGUUUCUUUUAGUUGGUUGUAUACUUUUUUGACCCACUUUAUGUUUGAAAAUUGAUUCUGGUUGGAUACUCUUACAUAAACUUUUCCUUUAGUUCGAGGGAAUACUAUAAUUUAUGUGCUCGAUGUAUAAUAUACCUAAUUAGUUAUUAAUUCUUAGAACUAAUUACAUGUGUCAAUCUUCUAUGAUUUUACAUUUUAAUAAGAAAAAUCAAGUUAUUUAAGUUUUCUUUUUUAUUUUAUGUCAUCAAAGUUUCAUAGGAGUCAAACAUUAUAUUCUGUUUCCUUAUAAUAUACUAUCUUCGACUAUCUGCUUGUUCCAUCUCCACCAGGAAAGAAUUAUAGCUAUGAUGUCAGUACUGUUUAGAGGUUCGUGAAAGCGUUUCUUUUUGAAGGCGAUUUUCAUUUAUUCCUCUCGAUUCGAUUGAAUAAGGCAUCUGAGUUGAUGGGCUUGUACCUUGCAGAAGUUGCCCCAGAUUCUUAUCUCUUCAAUGUUUUUAGCAUUAGUCAUGCUUCUCCUGGAUCGCGCAAGACAAACUCUUGAUAGGCUCUACGAAACCAUUGAUAUGUAUUUGGAGGGAAAAAUAUUCAGCUGAGAGAGUGAAGUUGCUACUUUCCCGUUUGCUUUUGUUUUCGUAGUUUAGUUGUAGAAGAUCUAAAGAAGCGGAACGAUUGUUCAAGAGAAAAUGGGGAUUUGGGAUUACAUUUGGAGCUCAGCGGAUUCGCUUAAACGAAACGCGCCGGAUCUAACCAACAUCGGAAACGCGGCUUAUAGAGUGGUCAACCCCGCCAACCUUCAAGGCCUGGAGCAGUAUUGGCCGGACCACGAAUCACGGCGGAAGAUCGUCCAAUUCACCACCUGCCUCUCUAAAAACGUUGCUUUUGAAACCAUCAAACUCAUUCCAGGUGGAGAUAUAGCUCGUAAGGUUGUUACUAAAUCAUACAAGGAGGUAUACAAGUCUGAUGGUCAAGUGAAUAAAGAAGAUAACAAAAAAGCAAUGGAUUGUGAGGAUUUCAUGCACCAAAUCCAAACAGCACCCAACUUUGAUUUAGCUGGGCACGAGGACCCGGCAGAUGUGAGAAGAAUCUUUAUGAUGAAGGGAUUCAUGGGCAGGCAAUUCUUAGAUAGUUUAAUUGUUCCGGGGGAUGCAAAUAUCUAUAAUAAUAAUAAGAAGAAGAAGAAGUAGGCACAUUUUUUUUUUUUUCCUUUUUUGGGUCAAUUAAGUAUAAUAUGUACGUGGAAAUGGUGGCUGAUUUGUGUAGUAUUUUUAUUUGUUUUGGGUGUGUUUUGUAUUUACGUUGUGUUCUAAUUUUGUUGCAAUGUUUAGUGUUAGGAUUAAUGCUUAUGUGGAUCCUCAUAAUAUUAACUGUUCGGUAGAACUUUUCCUCUUCUAUGGUUUAGAUUCUUGAGAAAACAUUUAUUCAAAAGCUUUCAAAGUUGUUGAUUAAUAGCAAAGCAUCUUCACAAUUAAUUCAACUAAGAGUAUGUGAAUCUGAUUCCAUUCGACAUCUUCGUCUUACAUUCAGUGCCACAAAAAUUGAGAGAUGCGAUGCCCAUUAUCAAUGAGUCCCCACCCAUUGGCCCUUUUAAUCUUUGAUAUAUAUAUAUAUAUAUAUACACACACUAUGUUACGAAUAAAGAAUAUAUAUAUAUAUAUAUAUAUAAUCUUGUUCAUUGGCAUGGAAAGAAAGCAUUUAGGAACUGUUGGAAAUUUUGCAAACUGUGCAAAAAUACUUUAUUUGUUUUAGGCUGGUUAACAAUAUUAUAUGCAAACGAAAAGAAAAUCGAUUUUUUUUUUUCUUUUUUCCAUUUUAUAUUCUACAAAAUUUGACCAAAGCAAAUUGUUUUCGGUAAAAAAGAGCAAGGGUUGAGCUGAGAGAGUAAAAGUUGCUCGCUGCUUUCCCAUUUGCUUUUGUUUUCGUAGUUUAGUCGUCGUAGAAGACCUAAAGAAGCAGAUUGAUUGGGGGAGAGAAAGAUGGGGAUAUGGGAUUACAUUUGCAGCUGGACCGAUUCGCUCAAACGAAACACACCGUACCCUCAAGUCCUGCAGCAGAAGCUGCCGGACGACAAAGCGCGACAGAUGAUCGCCCAAUUCACCACCUGUCUCGCGAAAAACGCCGCUAUCGAAGCCAUCAAAUCCUUUCCAGGUGGAGAUUCAGUUCGUAAGGUUGUUACUAAAUCAUACGAGGAGGUGUACAGGUGUGAUGGUCAAAGAAAAUAAAAAAAGAAAGCACCCAACUUUGCUUCAGCUGGGCAUGAAGACCCGGCAGAUGUCAUAAGAAGCUUCAUGAUGAAGGGAUUCAUGGACAGGCAACUCUUAAGAUAAAUUUGAUUGUUUCGAGGGUUGCACAUACUUAUAAUAACAAGAAGAAUAAGUAGGAAUAUUAUAUUUUAUGUUUUUGGUGGUCAAGUAUAAGUAGUAACCAGUAAGUGGAGAUGAGGUGGCUGAUUUGUGAAGUAUUUUUAUUUUUAUUAUUAUUAUAUUAUGUUUUUGGGUGUGUUUUUACAUUAUGUUCUAGUUUUGUUGCGAUGUUUUUUACAACAUAUUGCAGGAUAUUUGUUAGUGUUAAGAUCGAUGCUUAUGUGGAUGCUUCUAUUGUUGUGUAUGAGUUGUGUAGAAUCUGGGUACCAGCAUGUGAUUUUGAUAUUUUUAAAGGUCUUUUUCAAUUUUCAGUUUCACAUGUAAUUGUAAAUAAUUUCUUUGCUUUGUUCACAA